rnacentral:lncRNA from 1 species
CAUGGCCCCAUUCCUGCUUAAAAUCUCUGAUCCUCUGAAUGAGUUCAUUCUGGAGAAGAGAGAGUAGAGGACUGUACAACAGAACCUUGGGGGUUCAUUCCAUGGUACUCCAUAAAAGGAUGAUUAUUUCAGAAACUGGAAUCCAAACAAGCCCUUUGAUCAAGGUAAGGGUGACAAUAUCACACACUGGAUGUUAAAAUGUUACUACUUAUACCCUUUAGUCUCUGUAUAGGUGAUGACUAUGUACUUUUAGUCUGACUCCAAAAAUACCUCUUAUCUUCACCCCUUAAAGAUAGGCAAUCAGUGUGACUGAAAGCUUUUUACUAAUUGAUUCAUGUUUUCUCUGA